UACGUAGGGGGCUAGCGUUGUCCGGAAUCAUUGGGCGUAAAGCGCGUGUAGGCGGCCCGGUAAGUCCGCUGUGAAAGUCGGGGGCUCAACCCUCGGAUGCCGGUGGAUACUGUCGGGCUCGAGUACGGAAGAGGCGAGUGGAAUUCCUGGUGUAGCGGUGAAAUGCGCAGACAUCAGGAGGAACACCAAUUGCGAAGGCAGCUCGCUGGGACGUAACUGACGCUGAGACGCGAAAGCGUGGGGAGCAAACAGG
rnacentral:rRNA from 1 species